rnacentral:lncRNA from 10 species
AGCUGAGGACAGGCACUCCUGCCUUCCACCUAAAUUUUGCAUUUCCCGAGACACCUUGGCCCGCCAUUCCCCCGUCCUGUGCCUGUAAAAACUCCAGGCCCUAGAAGGCACACACGCACAAGUGGCUGGACUUCGUGAGGAAUUCAUAGGGGAAGAAGAUGCAAGUGGCUGGUCAUGGAGAGGACUUUUUGACGAGCGCCGGCAAAAGAGCACAGCGAAGAAAUCCCAGGAUACGGAAAGCCCUCUGUACUUGCAACAAGAGUCUCACUGUGUCAGCCAGGCUGGAGUGGCAUGAUCUUGGCUCACUGCAACCUCCGUCUCCCGGGCUCAAGCAAUUCUCCUGCCUCAGCCUCCAGAGUAGCUGGGAUUACAGGUAUGAGCCUUGCAAGAAGACAUACAUAUUUUGCUGAUUGCCAAGGGGAUAAUGCAUUGGGUAUAAGAAGAAGGAAAGUAGAGGAACCAAUUAAGAAAUAUUUACUACAAUUAAGAAGAGAUGAUAAUAACUUCGACCAAGGUGGAGGCUAUGAAGAUGGAGCAAUGCGAAUACAUGGAGACAUGUUUUUGAUGUAGACUCAGCAAGAAAUUCUAAUAUAUUAGAUUUUAUGUUUUGGGAGAAAAAGAGACAUCUCCAAGAUUAUGGCUUGAAUAGAUUGGGACUAAUAGUGAAACUUGAGAGUGAUCACAUAUGGAGAUGAAAGAUUGAAAGACCUCUCGCUGAACAUAAUAUAGAAGGUCUAAAAUACUCUCAAGUCCCCUCCAUCUCAAAAUGACAGCAGUAACAGUGAAAACUAAACAUAGCUGUACCAAGGGCCUGUGUAUCUUACUUCGCCCUCCUUGUGAGUUGCCACUUCCUGUUCAUCCUCCUAUCAACGUGAUAUAAACACCAAAAUAGACCAAAGUAAUUAUCUGGGGAAUGUCCAGAGGGUGUUUACCUUCAGAAAAUUAACAGCUUUGAGACUAAAUCGAUGACCCAGCAAGAAGGUUCUCAUCAGUGGCUGACCAGAUGCCAGAAACAUGCCAUUGGAGUGCCCAGCCUUCAGAACAGAAACAUGGCUGUAUAAGUAGAAAACUUUGAAGAAUUUGCUGUAAGUAACAAAUAUGUUUAGAAAGGUUACAGACUACAAUAUCUAAUUUAGAAGUCCUUUGUAUUUCUACAUAUUAGUAAUAAAUAAUUGGAA